GUUCUCGUUAGAUCACCGAAGUCAAGCAUCAUUGGGCGUGGUCAGUACUUGGGUGGGUGACCACCUGGGAACAUUGCGUGCCGU